rnacentral:rRNA from 1 species
UCGUCACACUAUCAUUAACUGAAUCCAUAGGUUAAUGAGGCGAACCGGGGGAACUGAAACAUCUAAGUACCCCGAGGAAAAGAAAUCAACCGAGAUUCCCCCAGUAGCGGCGAGCGAACGGGGAGGAGCCCAGAGCCUGAAUCAGCAUGUGUGUUAGUGGAAGCGUCUGGAAAGGCGCGCGAUACAGGGUGACAGCCCCGUACACAAAAGCGCAUGUGCUGUGAGCUCGAUGAGUAGGGCGGGACACGUGGUAUCCUGUCUGAAUAUGGGGGGACCAUCCUCCAAGGCUAAAUACUCCUGACUGACCGAUAGUGAACCAGUACCGUGAGGGAAAGGCGAAAAGAACCCCGGCGAGGGGAGUGAAAAAGAACCUGAAACCGUGUACGUACAAGCAGUGGGAGCCCCACCACUAAGCCAGUGGUGAACUCCACAUACGCAUCCUUUGCUGAGGAUACGGUUAACGGAGCGAAAGCGACGUUCAACCGCAAAAGAAGCAGAGGGGGCUUAGUGGUGGGGUGACUGCGUACCUUUUGUAUAAUGGGUCAGCGACUUAUAUUCUGUAGCAAGGUUAACCGAAUAGGGGAGCCGGAGGGAAACCGAGUCUUAAUUGGGCGUUAAGUUGCAGGGUAUAGACCCGAAACCCGGUGAUCUAGCCAUGGGCAGGUUGAAGGUUGGGUAACACUAACUGGAGGACCGAACCGACUAAUGUUGAAAAAUUAGCGGAUGACCUGUGGCUGGGGGUGAAAGGCCAAUCAAACCGGGAGAUAGCUGGUUCUCCCCGAAAGCUAUUUAGGUAGCGCCUCGUGAACUCAUCUCCGGGGGUAGAGCACUGUUUCGGCUAGGGGGCCAUCCCGGCUUACCAACCCGAUGCAAACUGCGAAUACCGGAGAAUGUUAUCACGGGAGACACACGGCGGGUGCUAACGUCCGUCGUGAAGAGGGAAACAACCCAGACCGCCAGCUAAGGUCCCAAAGUCAUGGUUAAGUGGGAAACGAUGUGGGAAGGCCCAGACAGCCAGGAUGUUGGCUUAGAAGCAGCCAUCAUUUAAAGAAAGCGUAAUAGCUCACUGGUCGAGUCGGCCUGCGCGGAAGAUGUAACGGGGCUAAACCAUGCACCGAAGCUGCGGCAGCGACACUGUGUGUUGUUGGGUAGGGGAGCGUUCUGUAAGCCUG